AGUCGCCACGGUAAUACGAAGGGUGCAAGCGUUACUCGGAAUUACUGGGCGUAAAGCGUGCGUAGGUGGUGGUUUAAGUCCGUUGUGAAAGCCCUGGGCUCAACCUGGGAAUUGCAGUGGAUACUGGAUCACUAGAGUGUGGUAGAGGAUAGUGGAAUUUCCGGUGUAGCAGUGAAAUGCGUAGAGAUCGGAAGGAACAUCUGUGGCGAAGGCGACUAUCUGGGCCAACACUGACACUGAGGCACGAAAGCGUGGGGAGCAAACAGGAUUAGAUACCCCCGUAGUCCCUGUCUCUUAUACA
rnacentral:rRNA from 1 species